UUCAGUUAGCAGAGUUAGCUCUGUGGUUCUUCAAUUAGCGGGGUUAGGUCUGUGGUUCUUCAGUUAGCAGGGUUAGCUCUGUGGUUCUUCACUUAGCUGGGUAAGCUCCGUGGUUCUUCAGUUAGCAGGGUUAGCUCUGUGGUUCUUCAGUUAGCGGGGUUAGCUCUGUGGUUCUUCAAUUAGCGGGGUUAGGUCUGUGGUUCUUCAGUUAGCAGGUUAGCUCUGUGGUUCUUCAGUUAGCUGGGUUAGCUCUGUGGUUCUUCAGUUAGCAGGGUUAACUCAGAGGUUCUUCAGUUAGCUGGGUUAGCUCCGUGGUUCUUCAGUUACCGUGGUUAGCUCUGUGGUUCUUCAGUCAGCGGGGUUAGCUCUGUGGUUCUUCAGUUAUCUAGGUUAGCUCUGUGGUUCUUUAGUUAGCUGGGUGAGCUAAGUGGUUCUUCAGUUAGCGGGGUUAGCUCUGUGGUUCUUUAGUUAGCU